GACGAACGCUGGCGGCGUGCUUAACACAUGCAAGUCGAACGAUGAACCGGUUUCGGCCGGGGAUUAGUGGCGAACGGGUGAGUAACACGUGGGCAAUCUGCCCUGCACUCUGGGAUAAGCCCGGGAAACUGGGUCUAAUACCGGAUACGACACUCCGAGGCAUCUUGGGGUGUGGAAAGUUCCGGCGGUGCAGGAUGAGCCCGCGGCCUAUCAGCUUGUUGGUGGGGUAAUGGCCUACCAAGGCGACGACGGGUAGCCGGCCUGGGAGGGUGACCGGCCACACUGGGACUGAGACACGGCCCAGACUCCUACGGGAGGCAGCAGUGGGGAAUAUUGCACAAUGGGCGAAAGCCUGAUGCAGCGACGCCGCGUGAGGGAUGACGGCCUUCGGGUUGCAAACCUCUUUCAGCAGGGAAGAAGCGAAAGUGACGGUACCUGCAGAAGAAGCACCGGCUAACUACGUG
rnacentral:rRNA from 1 species